AUUAUGGAGAGUUUGAUCCUGGCUCAGGACGAACGCUGGCGGCGUGCCUAAUACAUGCAAGUCGAACGAAUCUAGAAGUUAGCUUGCUAACUUCCAGGUUAGUGGCGGACGGGUGAGUAACACGUAGGCAACCUGCCCCCAAGAUCGGGAUAACAUUCGGAAACGGAUGCUAAGACCGGAUAAACAAUUCGCCCGCAUGGGCGGAUUGGGAAACACGGCGCA
rnacentral:rRNA from 1 species